UUUUUGUGGCAAGUCAGUGUUUUCAUAAUGUCUAAUUUUAAUAAUAAUUGUGGUCAACUAAUGAGUUUAUUGUUUUUUUGAUGAAUGGGUCAACGGGAUUUAGUCGGCUUCUAUUUAGCGUUUCAAAGCAACCUUGGCUUACCUGAACUCGGAUUUAUUAAUGUUAACUAAAUCAUCUUUAACAAUUUUUUAAAUCUUUGUCCAGUUAGCGUGUGAUUUUCGAUAUCACAUGAAAUCAUGAUAGUUUCGAAUCAACGACGUCAAUCAGAUUCGGUACAGCUUUUUAUUGUAAUCUAAUAAAACCCGGAUAAAUCAAUGGCGAGUUCAAGCAAACAUUUGCAGCAAACAUUUAAAAAUGGAGGCUCUUUUCACUGUAUUACAAUCAUUACCAUCUUUUAUGGACAAAUAGUACAAUUUAUUUUGUCAACUACAAUUUUCCGGUCUUUUGGCCAAGCAAUAAGCAAGAGCUUUUCAAAUAACCCAGCAUGCAACUAGGAAACCUGAUUUUCGAGCAAAGUUUGAAAUGAAAGUAACUAAACUGGAUUCCAUGACUGAUCAGCCAACCGGCAAAUACAUAGGUACAAGAAUCGGAUUAAAAUAUGAGUGAUUGUAAGAACCGGAAAGCUUAAAUUCAAUUGAAAAUGCAAUUCAACGAUCCAUGAUCAAGAUGAUGAUGUUGACAAAUAUUUCUCUUUCUCUUACCUUCAUCUUAACCAUUCUUUAAGAAAAAAACAUGUAACAAAUAAUCUUCUUGAUGCACCAUCAUCUUAAUCAUCAUCAUCACCAUAACCAAACCGUUUGGCUGGAAUCAACUCAAUUUCUCACAUUUAGUGGUUGAUUAUCAAAUGCUUGCAAUUGUAUGCAAACUCUGAGCAUUCUAUAUAUGUUUUGGUUACCAUGUUGUCCAUCAAGUUUAUUGAGAAAAAAAGGAAAUUAUUAAGAAAGAAAAAGAUUGCAUUUAAUUGUAAAGGAACUGUAAAAAAAUUUCUUCCGGCAACCAUUUCAUACUUAUCUUUUCAUCAGGUAGAAAAAAGAAACUUGUAUUCACUCGAUUUAGGAUUACUGUUGUGGUCAACAGUUGUAAAAAUUGUGCUUUAUUCGGUGACUAAUUGGGAGCAAAUUAUAAUUGUUGUCUUAUUGUUGAACCAAAUGGGAGACUAAUUGGACAAUUGAGCUUAUAGCUCAACUCGAUCAAAUAUCUGGCCACGGAAAAGAAGCAAGUUUGAUUACCAUGGACUAGUGUUGAUCGAAUGAAUAAUUUGAUUGUUCACUCAUUAUGAUGAGGAAUCUUCUCAAUGAAUACAUUUGAAUGGUAAUUGCAGUUGUAACGACUAUUGUGAUUUAAGUGUCAAUUUGUUACUACUAAUUGCUCAACAAUAUUAACUUUUGACCAAUCUUAAAUGUUGGUUGUCUAUUAAGUUUAAUGUUUUAAGUGUGUGUGUGUUAUGUUUGGUUGGAUAAACAUUUUUGGUUGAUCAAAUGUGACUUAUAUUGCACAUUCAGGUUUAACCUUUCCAAUUUAAAUAGCACACAUAAAUACACAUACUUAAAACACAAAAACGCAAGGAAAAAAGGACGCAAUUUUCAAAGGGAGUCUUUCUUUUUUUCAAGAUUGUUUGAGAUUGACAUAAAAAUUGUAUCAAAAUGUUUGCUUCUUUUUGUUGGAAGGAAGAGUUGACUCGUCAAAUUUUAAAUGUUGCCAUCAGCAUUCAUUGAACUGAAAAAUUUUCCUGUUUAAUCAUCUUCUUUAAUCAUCUAUUUCUAUUGAUGAAGACGAGGCAAAACAAGAAGAAGAAGAAGCCGAAGAAGGAAGGAGACAAAAAUCAAAGUUUUCAAGAUGAUUAUUAUGAUGAAGCGUGGCCUUCUGACUAAAGCUGAACGUGGUGAACGUAAAACGUUUCAUUGAUCAUCCUCAUCCUCAUCAUCAUUCAAAUAUCGGCUACAUUUGCAAGAAACCAAGUGAUGACUGAUGUUAAUGAUCGCACUUAAUUAACGUAAAAGUAAUUGGUUUGAUGAGGAACAGAUUAAACUAGUUGUCCAGUGAAAAGAGUUGAGCUGUUUAAAUCGGAACUGUAUCGAUAAUUGUUGAAACAAGAUUGAUCGCUAAAAAUAGCUGUUGGUUUCACAGAAGCACCCAAUUGUCGAUAUAAAUGCAUGUUGAAUCACAAAAGAGUCAACACGUUGAUUCACUUUUCCCAUGAUGCUGAUGAUGCUACAAAUGGAUAUAAUGAUGAUAAUCAAUAUUCAACCCAUCCCUUUAAUUUGCAUAUCAAUGGUCAAUUGGAUUGUUAUUGAACUUAACUUACCAAUCGUAAGAUAAUAACUGGAUAUAAUUCAAGAUAAUCAACGUUUUCAGCCUUUUUCAAUUGUAAAGGUCUUUUUGGGAACAAUGUACUAUUAUAUUUUGGCUUCGCUAAGUUGGACCAGUUAUGAGUUUCGAUUUUGGCAUUUGGUAAAAGAUGGCAAUUUUGGACUUACCGAUGGCUAAGAGGACUUUAAGCUUUGGAUUUUUCAAUUUGAGCUCAGUGGUUCUUUCGUAGAGACCCUUUUUUCCAGCCUUGGUUUCAUCGGUUGGAUCAUGGGCUGAAAUUUUGGACUUUUUAAGCCAACCAAAGGCAAAAAUAACGUGUGUACAAAUAUCUGGAUCAAUAUCUUCUGGAACAAAUUUACCCUGAUUGGGCCGGUAUUGAGA